CCUACGGGUGGCAGCAGUGAGGAGUAUUGGUCAAUGGACGCAAGUCUGAACCAGCCAUGCCGCGUGCAGGAAGACGGCUCUAUGAGUUGUAAACUGCUUUUGUACGAGGGUAACCGCAGAUACGCGUAUCUGUCUGAAAGUAUCGUACGAAUAAGGAUCGGCUAACUCCGUGCCAGCAGCCGCGGUAAUACGGAGGAUUCAAGCGUUAUCCGGAUUUAUUGGGUUUAAAGGGUGCGUAGGCGGUCGGAUAAGUUGGAGGUGAAAUCCCGGGGCUCAACUUCGGAAUUGCCGCUGAUACUGUUCGGCUAGAGAGUAGGUGAGGUAGGCGGAAUGUAUGGUGUAGCGGUGAAAUGCUUAGAGAUCAUGCAGAACACCGAUUGCGAAGGCAGCUUACCAAGCUACUACUGACGUUGAGGCACGAAAGCGUGGGGAGCGAACAGGAUUAGAUACCCCAGUAGUC
rnacentral:rRNA from 1 species